CUGGCGACCGGCGCACGGUGAGUAACACGUAUCCAACCUGCCGAUAACUCGGGGAUAGCCUUUCGAAAGAAAGAUUAAUACCCGAUGGCAUAAUUAGACCGCAUGGUUUGAUUAUUAAAGAAUUUCGGUUAUCGAUGGGGAUGCGUUCCAUUAGGCAGUUGGUGAGGUAACGGCUCACCAAACCUUCGAUGGAUAGGGGUUCUGAGAGGAAGGUCCCCCACAUUGGAACUGAGACACGGUCCAA
rnacentral:rRNA from 1 species